UGGUUGACAGAGGAGAUAACGGGCUUGACAAGAUGAAAUCACGUGAGGAAAACAUCGCUCGACUUUUAAAUUAAAUUCCUGUUAGAGGUGCUACAUCUGACGACAACUGGACCGACUUAAAUUCAGAUUAUUUCACCGCACCGGGUGAUGAGGACAGCGGGUGCGCCGGGUCGGUUCGGACGCCCGGCAAACGCUAGAGGCUAGGCUAGCUCUCAAUCCGCUGAUCAGGACGGAGAAAGAGAGUUGGAGGAAGAAGAUAUUCCACUCAUGGCUGAGCCGAUGAUGACACACAAUGUCUCUGAUUAAAGUUAUUAAAUCAGGACAGUGUUAAAGAGACUGAGAUCGCCUGGCCGGGAGUACCAGUGUAGCUGCAAACUGUACAACAGCGCCGCUCUCUACACCGGAGGAGAUGGAGAGAAGACGCGACCAGAUGAAAGAAAUGACUAAUGAUGAGAAACAUCUGGAUCUCCUUGAGAAGAUCAGCUCCCACAUGACCCUGUGAAAGGAUACAGUGAGCUCCAGGAGAAGCCAGCAGAAUGAGCGCAGGAGCCACAUUUCAUAGUCUUUCUAUUAUAUCUAUAUUUCUAUUAUAUAUUAUAUUAUAUAAUAUUGUACAUACAUAAUAUGUACAUAAUAUUUGUUCAUAUGCUAUCCAUUUUCUAGUAUGUUUUUUUUUAUUGUUUGGAUAUGGACUUGUAAGUUUGUGCAUGUACCUGUGUGCACAUGGCUCCAUAUUUAAUAUUUUUAAUUAUGUAUUCUUCAUAUAAUUAUUAUUAUAUUGAAAUAAACAUAUAUACUAUA